rnacentral:rRNA from 1 species
UACGUAGGGGGCUAGCGUUGUCCGGAAUCAUUGGGCGUAAAGCGCGCGUAGGCGGCCCGGUAAGUCCGUUGUAAAAGUCAAAGGCUCAACCUUCUGAAAGCCGAUGGAUACUGCCGGGCUAGAGUCCGGAAGAGGCGAGUAGAAUUCCUGGUGUAGCGGUGGAAUGCGCAGAUAUCAGGAGGAAUACCGGUGGCGAAGGCGGGUCUCUGGGCCGAUACUGACGCUGAGGAGCGAAAGCGUGGGGAGCGAACAGG